rnacentral:rRNA from 1 species
GUGUGGGGGACAUUCCACGUUUUCCGCGCCGUAGCUAACGCAUUAAGUGCCCCGCCUGGGGAGUACGGCCGCAAGGCUAAAACUCAAAGGAAUUGACGGGGGCCCGCACAAGCGGCGGAGCAUGCGGAUUAAUUCGAUGCAACGCGAAGAACCUUACCAAGGCUUGACAUGAACUGGAAACACCUGGAAACAGGUGCCCCGCUUGCGGUCGGUUUACAGGUGGUGCAUGGUUGUCGUCAGCUCGUGUCGUGAGAUGUUGGGUUAAGUCCCGCAACGAGCGCAACCCUCGUUCUAUGUUGCCAGCACGUUAUGGUGGGGACUCAUAGGAGACUGCCGGGGUCAACUCGGAGGAAGGUGAGGACGACGUCAAAUCAUCAUGCCCCUUAUGUCUUGGGCUUCACGCAUGCUACAAUGGCCGGUACAAUGGGUUGCGAUACUGUGAGGUGGAGCUAAUCCCAAAAAGCCGGUCUCAGUUCGGAUUGGGGUCUGCAACUCGACCCCAUGAAGUCGGAGUCGCUAGUAAUCGCAGAUCAGCAACGCUGCGGUGAAUACGUUCCCGGGCCUUG